rnacentral:rRNA from 1 species
GAUGAACGCUGGCGGCGUGCCUAAUACAUGCAAGUCGAGCGAACGGACUAGAAGCUUGCUUCUCUGAUGUUAGCGGCGGACGGGUGAGUAACACGUGGAUAACCUACCUAUAAGACUGGGAUAACUUCGGGAAACCGUAGCUAAUACCGGAUAAUAUUUUGAACCGCAUGGUUCAAAAGUGAAAGACGGUCUUGCUGUCACUUAUAGAUGGAUCCGCGCUGCAUUAGCUAGUUGGUAAGGUAACGGCUUACCAAGGCAACGAUGCAUAGCCGACCUGAGAGGGUGAUCGGCCACACUGGAACUGAGACACGGUCCAGACUCCUACGGGAGGCAGCAGUAGGGAAUCUUCCGCAAUGGGCGAAAGCCUGACGGAGCAACGCCGCGUGAGUGAUGAAGGUCUUCGGAUUGUAAAACUCUGUUAUUAGGGAAGAACAUAUGUGUAAGUAACUGUGCACAUCUUGACGGUACCUAAUCAGAAAGCCACGGCUAACUACGUG